rnacentral:rRNA from 1 species
CCCUUAGACGUUCUGGGCCGCACGCGCGCUACACUGACCAGUGCAACAAGCAUCCGUCCUUGGCCGACAGGCUCGGGCAAUCUUUGAACGCUGGUCGUGAUGGGGAUAGACUUUUGCAAUUUUUGGUCUUCAACGAGGAAUUCCUAGUAAACGCAAGUCAUCAACUUGCAUUGAUUACGUCCCUGCCCUUUGUACACACCGCCCGUCGCACCCACCGAUUGAAUGGUCCGGUGAAGCCUCCGGAUUGGCGCGCACCUCGGUGCCGCCGAGAAGUUGGCUAAACCUUACCAUUUAGAGGAAGGUGAAGUCGUAACA